UACGUAGGGUGCGAGCGUUGUCCGGAAUUAUUGGGCGUAAAGAGCUCGUAGGCGGUGUGUCACGUCGUUCGUGAAAACCUGCAGCUUAACUGUGGGCGUGCGGUCGAUACGGGCAUCACUGGAGUUCGGCAGGGGAGACUGGAAUUCCUGGUGUAGCGGUGAAAUGCGCAGAUAUCAGGAGGAACACCGAUGGCGAAGGCAGGUCUCUGGGCAUUAACUGACGCUGAGGAGCGAAAGCGUGGGGAGCGAACAGG
rnacentral:rRNA from 1 species